UCCGUAGGUGAACCUGCGGAAGGAUCAUUACCGAGUGCGGGUCCUUUGGGCCCAACCCCCCAUCCGUGUCUAUUGUACCCUGUUGCUUCGGCGGGCCCGCCGCUUGUCGGCCGCCGGGGGGGCGCCUCUGCCCCCCGGGCCCGUGCCCGCCGGAGACCCCAACACGAACACUGUCUGAAAGCGUGCAGUCUGAGUUGAUUGAAUGCAAUCAGUUAAAACUUUCAACAAUGGAUCUCUUGGUUCCGGCAUCGAUGAAGAACGCAGCGAAAUGCGAUAACUAAUGUGAAUUGCAGACUUCAGUGAAUCAUCGAGUCUUUGAACGCACAUUGCGCCCCCUGGUAUUCCGGGGGGCAUGCCUGUCCGAGCGUCAUUGCUGCCCUCAAGCCCGGCUUGUGUGUUGGGUCGCCGUCCCCCUCUCCGGGGGGACGGGCCCGAAAGGCAGCGGCGGCACCGCGUCCGAUCCUCGAGCGUAUGGGGCUUUGUCACAUGCUCUGUAGGAUUGGCCGGCGCCUGCCGACGUUUUCCAACCAUUCUUUCCAGGUUGACCUCGGAUCAGGUAGGGAUACCCGCUGAACUUAAGCAUAUCAAUAAGCGGAGGA
rnacentral:rRNA from 1 species